CCCUUAGAUGUUCUGGGCUGCACGCGCGCUACACUGAUGUACUCAACGAGUUUUCGACCUUGCCUGGAAAGGUUGGGUAAUCUUGUUAAAAUGCAUCGUGAUGGGGAUAGAUUAUUGCAAUUAUUAAUCUUCAACGAGGAAUUCCUAGUAAGCGCGAGUCAUCAGCUCGUGCUGAUUACGUCCCUGCCCUUUGUACACACCGCCCGUCGCUACUACUGAUUGGAUGUUUAAGCGAGGUUCUCGAACUGCUAGCGACUUAGCUUCGGUGAGGUCGCAGUGUGGGAAGUGAACCUAGCUUUGGUGUCUAGAGGAAGUAAAAGUCGUAACA
rnacentral:rRNA from 1 species